AAUGGGGGAUUGAAGUUUGGACCAAUUCGACGCAGAACGUUAUUCUAAGCAAAAAAUUGUUCUACGAAAUGCCUCUAAAAUGCACAGAUUUUUUUAUAAAAUUAAUUUUGUUUACAAAGUACGAACCUAAAUCGACCCAAUUUUGUCAGCCGCCUAAAAUGUGCCGGAGGCCAUUUCCAGUCUCGAUGAAAAUAAGUAUGUGUAAGGUGUUCUGCAGCAAGAACUACAUGGGUAUCGACAAUUCUGAUCAAAAGAAUUGCUAAAAACAGUGUAAAAUCAAAAAAAAAACAGGGCCGCCAUUUUGUAAUUUUCUUACGGUCGGCUUCUAAAAUGCACAGAU